CGAUUCGAACCUGCGGCAGGUUCGUGUCGAACGCAGUGAGACAACGGAGCCGCUUGCGGCGAGGGCCCGAAGGGCGAGCGAAGCGAGUCAUCCUGCACGACCCACCA
rnacentral:sRNA from 1 species